AAGGUGAUAUGGCUUUGUGGCUACUCCUAUGCACUGGAUUCCAUCCUUUCUUACCUACCCACGGACUUUGCUCCUCUACUUAGCUUUGUGCCUAUAUACCGGCAACUGAAAUCUGUCCUAGGGGCACUCAUAGACAUAUGAACUCCAGCUCUUCAGGCCUCUCUUCGAGAACACCACCUCUAACUCAUCAGGCAUCUGCCAGUCAUCUACUAAAGAGCUCUGCUUUGAAAAGACUCCUCAUCUACUGAGCUAAGAAAUACAAGUACGUAUAAAGGCAUACCUUGGAGAUACUGUGGGUUUUGUUCCAGGUCACCAAAAUAAAACAAACAGAGCAAUAAGGUGAGUCACUCAAUUUUUUUGAUUUCCCUGUGCAUAUAAAAGUUAUGUUUACACUAUAAUCUAUUAAGUGUGCAAUAGCAUUAUGUCUAAAAACAUGUACAUACCCUAAUUUAAAAAUACUUUAUUGUUAAAAAUGCUAAUGAUCACAUGAGCCUCCAGUGAAUCCUCUUUUUGCUUGUGUAGGGGGGUCUUCCCUCGAUGUUGAUGGCUGCUGACUGAUUAGGGUGGUGAUUGCUGAAGGAUGGGUGACUGUGGCAACUGCUUAAAAUAAGACAAUAAAGUUUGCUGCAUUAAUUGGCUCUUCCUUUCAUGAAAGAUUUCUCUGUAGUAUGUGAUACUCUUUGAUAGGAUUUUACCCAUAGGAGAACUUCUUUCAAAGCUGGAGUUAAUCCUCUCAAACCCUGGCACUACUUUAUCAACGAAGUAUAUGUAAUAUUCUAAAUCCCUUAUUGUUAUUUUUACAAUGCUCACAGCAUCUUUACCAAGUACAGAUUCCAUCUUAAGAAACCAUUUUCUUUGCUCUUCCAUAGGAAGCAACCCCACAUCCAUUCAAGUUUUAUCAAGAGAUGAUAGCAAUUCAGUCACAUCUUCAGGCUCCACUUACAAUUCUAGUCCUCUUAUUAUUUCUGCCAUAUCUGCAGUUACUUCCUCCACUGAAGUCUUGAACCUCUCUCAAGGUCAUCCAUUAUGGUUAAAAUUAAUUUCUUCCAAACUCCUAGUAAUGUUAAUAUUGACCUCCUAUGAAUCAUAGAUGUUCUUAAUGGCAUCUAGAAUGGUGAAUCUUUUCCAGAUGAAAAUCUUGAAAAUCCU
rnacentral:lncRNA from 1 species